rnacentral:tRNA from 1 species
GGGUGGGUAGCUCAGUGGUUAGAGCUCAGGUCUCAUAACUGGAAGGUCCCGGGAUCAAAUCCUGCUAGAGGCA